rnacentral:rRNA from 1 species
GACGAACGCUGGCGGCGUGCUUAACACAUGCAAGUCGAACGAAGUGGCGAACGGGUGAGUAACGCGUAAUCAACUUGCCCUUCAGAGGGGGACAACAGUUGGAAACGACUGCUAAUACCGCAUACUGAAGGAGGGGAUUGAGUGUGAUUAGCUAGUUGGAGGGGUAACGGCCCACCAAGGCGAGGAUCAGGAGCCGGUUUGAGAGGAUGAACGGCCAACUUGGGACUGAGACACGGCCCAGACUCCUACGGGAGGAAGCAGUGGGGAAUCUUCCGCAAGGGACGAAAGUCUGACGGAGCAACGCCGCGUGAGUGAUGACGGCCUUCGGGUUGUAAAGCUCUGUUAAUCGGGACGCGGUACCGGAAUAGAAAGCCACGGCUAACUACGUGCCAGCAGCCGCGGUAAUUC